AGAGAGAGAGAGAGCCGUCUUCACUUCAAACACACCCAACACAACACAGAUAGAGAGAGAGAGCCGUCUACAUUGCCAUCGUCGUCGCCGUCCACGGCCUUUUCCCUUUCUCUCUCUUUUGAUUUAAGGUUUGGGGUUCACUCCUUUGUUGAUUUAACCACCUGUUGUUGCUGUUUCUCAAAAUCGACUUCUAUUUAAUUCAUCAGGCUCGCACAAACACUGCACUCACCUAGCCAGACCUCUCUGCUCUUUCUCCCCUAACACUGCUCUCUUCUUCUUUUCCUCUUGGCUAUUAUUAUGGUUUGAGUUAUUUUUCUGUUUGUCGGUAUUUUUCUUAAGUUCGCGAUGCUAAGGUGGAUUUCAUAACUGAAUAGUGAUAAGAUAUCACCGCUUUCUUUAAGUCUGAAAAGAAAUAUAGAUUCUUCGGAGUUUAGAAUCUCUGUUGAAGGUAUUAAUAAAGGUAUGCAUUAUGCCUUAGAAUACAUAUCUAUAAUUUGAGGUAGGUAACUAUUGCACUUUUGAGGGUUAAAUAAGUUGCAUUCUUAAGACACCUUUGAGGCAAAUUAAUGGUUCAUGUGAGGCAAGCAUAUGGUAUUUUUUGAGUUGCUAUUUGAUGAACUGCUACUACAUUUGAAUGAGUUUUGUAUCUGCACUUUGAGAGUAGUUUACUGUGUUUGAAUGAUUGCAUUUACAACAAACAUAUGUGGUCAAAAUCCCCUCUUUCGGUUCUCGGCUUGAGCAAGGAUUACUCCGAGCGGAUUCGGAGAUUCGACAACUACAAUAGCCUCAGUUCGCUGUCCCAAAACAGGAAAGAUAUCAAGAAAUAUUACGGGAAAAAUCACAAUCUCAGUCUGAUAUUGAUCAAUGUGAAGCAUAUUACGAAGCUACUGGGGGAACAAGGAAAAGAAGAAUAUAUGGUCUUGGAUCUCAAGCACAAAGUUAUUAUGGGUCGAAUCUUUGCGUCAAUUUUGGCUUUAAUCUUCAGCAUCAGUAGCACCUUCAACUUCUCAAUCAGCACCGACAGAAAAUAUGGAGGAGUUAGUG